rnacentral:rRNA from 1 species
CUGCUGCCUUCCGUAGGAGUCUGGGCCGUGUCUCAGUCCCAAUGUGGCCGGCCAACCUCUCAGUCCGGCUACCGAUCGUCGCCUUGGUGAGCCGUUACCUCACCAACUAGCUAAUCAGACGCGAGUCCAUCUCAGAGCGAUAAAUCUUUGGCAGUCAGAGCCAUGCGACCCAACUGCAUCAUGCGGUAUUAGCAGUUGUUUCCAAUUGUUAUUCCCCACUCCAAGGCAGGUUACU